UUGUGUAGCGACUCGCUAUACAGUGUGGUUGAGCUUUGAAUGAGGGGCCAUCAUCCCGGUGGUACGGUGUUUCUACAUCCACUUUUAAGACUCGCUGGACCAAACUAAAAUUAAAAAGAUGGAUUUAUUGGCGGGUACCUAAGUGACCACGCGAUUACCUCUCACCAGCUCGUUUGGAUUAGUUGGAUGCUCCGCUCUCUGCUCCCCUCCAUUAGCACAUUCCAUAUAGUAUCUCUAUUUUCCAGGUUUUUCCUCUAUACUAAUGACUUAGAUAGGAUUAGAAAUACACAUGUAUAGUGUCUCUGUCUUUUUAUUUCCUGAAGGAUUUUAGACAUACAGCCUAACAGCUUUAAAUCCCCCUCCCCCUCCCUUGUUCCCUUUACAUCAGAUUAAAAGGCUAACUCAAAACACUCACGUACACGACGUACACGCAACAUGUCCUCCAUACUACCCUUCACUCCCCCGGUGGUGAAGCGGCUGCUCGGGUGGAAGAAGACUCCGGCAGGAGGCGGAGGAGCAGGAGGUGGGAUUGGAGGAGUAGGGGAGCAGAAUGGAGGCGGGCAGGAGGAGAAAUGGUGUGAAAAAGCCGUCAAGAGCCUGGUGAAGAAGCUAAAGAAGACAGGGCAGCUGGAUGAGCUGGAAAAAGCCAUCAGCACGCAGAACAACAACACUAAGUGUGUCACCAUACCCAGCAAUUGUUCAGAUCUAUGGGGUCUUGGGUCAGGCCACAUGAUAGAGCAGUGGGACUCUUCAGGCAUGUACGGAUACCCUGACCACAACAGGUCAUUGGAUGGGCGUCUUCAGGUGUCCCAUCGUAAGGGUCUACCACAUGUCAUCUACUGUCGCCUGUGGAGAUGGCCGGAUCUUCAUAGCCACCAUGAGCUGCGGGCCAUUGACAACUGCCAGUACGCCUUCAACCUCAAGAAGGAUGAAGUGUGUGUCAACCCUUAUCAUUACCAGAGGGUGGAGACGCCGGUGCUGCCCCCAGUUUUGGUGCCCCGCCACACAGAGAUCCUGACUGAGCUUCCACCGCUAGAUGACUUUACAAACUCAAUCCCUGAAAACACCAAUUUUCCAGCAGGCAUAGACCCUCCUAAUAACUAUAUACCAGAGACUCCCCCACCUGGCUACAUUAGUGAAGAUGGCGAGGCUAGUGACCAGCAGAUGAAUCAAAGUAUGGAAUCAGGCUCACCAGCAGAACUGUCACCUAACACCUUGUCGCCGGUCAGCCACAGCCUGGACCUUCAGCCCGUAACCUACAGUGAACCAGCUUUUUGGUGCUCUAUAGCCUACUAUGAGCUCAACCAGCGUGUUGGAGAAACAUUUCACGCUUCGCAGCCUUCUCUUACGGUGGAUGGCUUCACCGACCCCUCCAACUCUGAGCGCUUUUGCCUUGGACUUCUCAGCAACGUCAACAGAAACGCAACUGUCGAAAUGACAAGGAGGCAUAUAGGUCGUGGAGUGAGGUUGUACUACAUUGGAGGGGAGGUGUUCGCUGAGUGCCUCAGCGACAGUGCCAUUUUUGUCCAGAGUCCCAACUGCAACCAGCGAUAUGGCUGGCACCCCGCCACAGUCUGCAAGAUACCUCCAGGCUGUAAUCUGAAGAUUUUUAACAACCAGGAGUUUGCUGCUCUGCUGGCACAGUCCGUCAAUCAGGGGUUUGAGGCGGUCUACCAGUUGACCAGGAUGUGUACCAUCAGGAUGAGCUUUGUCAAAGGAUGGGGUGCAGAGUACAGACGUCAGACAGUCACCAGCACUCCGUGUUGGAUUGAGCUGCAUCUCAAUGGCCCCCUCCAGUGGUUGGACAAGGUGCUGACUCAAAUGGGAUCCCCCUCUGUACGCUGCUCUAGUAUGUCCUAAAAAAGGCACCUGGCUGCGGCAGAAGAAACUUGACAUUACACAACAUUUGACCAGCAUCGUAAAGAAUUAUACCAUGGUGGAGUAACAUCGUUAAGAGAAGAAACGCACACAAAGGACCGCAAGGCUGACAUUCCAAUCACCAUUAACCUAAUGACUGAAGUCACUCCAUAUCCAAAAUGACGACGGUGGUGUCCAUUCACAUUUCAGGUAUUUGACUGAGGUGCUGAACCAGACUCAAAUGCAGAGAACAGUUGGGGAAUUGAGUCUCUCUCUCUCUCUCUCUCUCUCUCUCUCUCUCUCUCUCUCUCUCUCUCUCUCGCUCUAUCACUCUCUCGCUCUCUUUCUCUCGCUCUCUCUCUCUCACCAAUACACCUUGCCUCCUCACUGCCUCGCUACCACGCCACAAGCUGGACUCAGUGUCAAGUGUUUUCGUUUACACGCGGUUGACUCGCGGUCCAACUGCCACGCUUUGGACUCACGUUCAACCAAUGUUCAAAUAGCGUUUCUCACAUUUAGUGACCAAAGUACUGUACUGUUUAUUGGUCGAGACUUGCGCUUACCCCUUCCUUUUCAGUCCACUGUUGGUGUGCUUGCAAACAUAAACCUUUUAAUUAACAUAUCCCCUUCACACACUUUGACCUUGACACACACUCUUAUCCGAGAUUUCACUCAAUUGCAAAUGUGUGCUCAAGCUCAUUGGGUUUGGGUGAAUCAUUUAAUUUAAAAUUGGUUGAAACCCGUGAGAGCAGAAGUUGAAAAACUAUUUUUCCUCUUGCUUCCUUAUUCUAUUGUAUGUCAUUUCAUUUCAAUGCAUUGUAAUCAGAAACAGAGUACAUUUGUAGGAUCAGCACAUGAUCUUAGUGUUGCCCCCAGCUGCAAGUCAAAAACUACGCAUUGGGUGACACCAGGUUGAAUUCUACUGAUCUCUAGAAGUGAUUCCCAACUUUGAUUGAUACAUGACAUUUCUUGCAUUUGAAAAAUUUCAUGGCACGCUUACAAACAAAAAUGUCACAAAGUGGAUACACAAGUCAAAUAUUUCACUUUCUGUCAUCAAAUAGAAGAGAAUUUAAUAUUGUCUUUAUAUGCCCCUGCCAUGGACAGAUAGAUAAAGAUACAUUAUUUGUUGUAAAUAAAUAUUUUGACCAAUUAAGGGAAAUUUCAUCAUUUUCCCGGCACACCAAAAGAGCUCUCAUGGCACACUAUUGUGCCAGGCCACAUUGGUCGGGAAUCACCGCUCUAGAUUAUGCUUGAAUUGACGCAUGGUUUCCCCCUUUUAUGAAUAAUGUUUUGACGAGAAGAGUCCUCCAAUGUGGGAUUGUGGUCAAAUUGCCUCUACAUUAUUAUUGCACUGUCCCAAAUUAUGCACCCUUAAUUCAAACUAAAAAAAAAGUUGCCUUUAAUGUAAAAUACGUGAAAUUUUAAAUUGUACAGAUAGAAAUGAUGAAAACCCCGACAGCAUAUUUUUGGAAUUGCCAUGAUGUCUGAAUUGGCUUACAUUGUAGAGUAAGCGCUUAUUUCACUUCAAAGGACAUUGUGUCAUCAGCUAAGAGCUGGAACAGCAAUUUUGAGUCUGAACGUUUCCAAACUAAAAUCUAUUUAAGCUUUAAGUGUUUAACCAAGCAAUUGUACUGCACAGUUAUUUGAAGUUUUAUGCUUUGUUUUUGUCUCGUGAUGAUUUAUUUAUAUAUAUAUAUAUAUAUAUAUAUAUAUAUAUAUAUGGAUGAAUAUGUUAAAAUCCUUCUGGUUUGCCCAAUGAAAUGAUUGACUUAUUGUGUAUUAUGAUAUGAUAUAAAAGUGUCAUUGGGCCUUCCACUGAAAACGAAUCAUUGCCCUGAAUAUCAACUUCCUAUUUUUUUGUACUUUCCUGAAAAUGAAAUUUGAUUGAAAAGACUUUAUUAAAUAAAUUUACAAUCUAUGAUAUGGAAAAAGUUGGUUAUUUGGACCAUUACUGCAAAUUUAUGCUGUUCCAAAGACUAAAUAUAAGUUUGUACCAAAAAAAAAAUGACCACUGACCAAAACCUGAUGAAUACAAACACAAAGUAAUUAAACUCAGUGACCUAAUAAGUGAUGGUUGCUUUGCUCUAAAAUCUUUAAAAUGCAUCAGUUAUUCCUUCACCACCACAAACCACAAGAGGUUGAGGUCCUUUCAUGAAAAGAUGUUUUAUUUAUUUUCCUCAAAUGCUCACGAGUUUCAAAGUAGCAAGUGAGCAAUGCAGAAUCACAUUUCAUUGUCACUGCCGUUGCUGUUCUCUGUCCGAGAAUUCAGAUGGCGAUUCUAUUCAAUUUUAGUGUCUUAAACAGGACAAACAUUCCAGUUUGCAAUUAAAAAAAAAAAAAACUGCCUCUUGACUUAAGUGUACUCUUUACACUGCGUGUUUUAUGAGGACGGGCGGUUUUUCCUCACACUCCCGUAGAGGCCUGUGUGUCGCUCAACAAAGAGCGCAGAAGCACAAUGUCAUGAACAGUGGGACAUGUAAAUAUGGAGUAUGUCUCACGUCAUCCUCAUGUCAUAUUCCAGAUUUCAUUGUUGUUGACUUGGAACAAUUGUGACAUGUUUCUGAGCUUGUGCAUGUAAACACAAACAGGGUGGUGUAUUUUGAAAUGCAGACAGAGUUGAAUGACUGACUCUUUCAUUUAGGGCGGCCUUUUUCUGUUUUUUUGAUUCAGUUGAAUAAAUUCCAUUUGUCUGGAUCAAUGGAAAUCAUACUCACUUGUACAUAAACUGAACUAGCCCAUGGCAGUUAUGUUUAUCUCUCUAUUUCAUGUUGUCUUAAAUUUCAUUUUUUUUACUUUUUAGGGAAUACUUUACUGGACUUCUCAAUGCCAAGGUCAGUACAUGGUUUUAAAAAAGGAAAGUGUUUCCUUGUAGUCUUUUGUACUAUGCGUUGCCAUCACAUCGCUCAGAUUGUAUUCGCAGAAGUAUUUUCAAUCAUUACUGUAGGCGUUACCCCUGUUGAUUUGUUAUCAUUGUGCUCCGAAUGCCAGGUUCCAGAAAGCAUUUGGGGUUUUUCCUUUUUCUUUAAAAGAGUGCCACUUUGUUUUGCAGUUUGCUUGUUCACUCCCUAAAAAAUCAGCUUUGCAAAAGGAGGAUGAGCAGGGUUUUUUUUGUUUUUUUUUUGUUUUCUAGGGUCUUUACACACACACUUUUACCAAUCACCUUGUGUUUUUUUGUCUUCCGUGAAGGACAAGUGUGGAUUCCUAAAUGAACAUCUCUUUUUCUUGAGAAAAGGUCUGCAGGCAAAAGUUGCUUCAUGUCUUUAGUUGUUAUUAUUGUACAGUUAUUUUAUUUUUCAAUUUCUCCCCUUCCCCCAUGCUUUCCACAAAACCUAUCCCUUUUGACAAACAAGUUGUAAGGAUGUCUUCUUCAAACACAGAUCUUUAUAUAGGUUCCAAUUAUGAACAAGCAACUUCUGACUGUGUACACUAAUAAAACUUAUGGUUCAAGUCAA